rnacentral:piRNA from 1 species
UAUGGUGGCUCUCUGAAGAGGGGGAGU